ensembl:lncRNA
AUGACAUAUUGUAAGUCUAUAUUAAUUAAGACUUUGAUAGUAAAAUCAUUCAGUAAAUGUAAACUUACAAACCUCGGAACCGUCGAUGGUCUCGAGCAAGUUAAUGGAUUAAAUGGCACUACUGAUGCUAGAUGGGAAAACAUGAUCAGACUGAAUGAUCAUACUGGAGACCUCACCAUCAGAAACAUCCAAACUGAACACUCUGGAGACUAUGAUCUGGAGAUCAACAACAGCAGCAUGAUCUUACACAGGAAAUUCCAUAUUGCAGUUAGUGAGCUCCCCCCGAGUUCACAGUGGCAGACAGCUGGUCCAGUGUUGGCAGUCAUUGUUGUGAUCUUAAUCGUGAUCGGAAUCGGAAUCUGUAUUGGGAUCAAGAUGGGUUGGUUUGAAGUAUGUUGGCCAUGCAAAAAGAGUGGUGAAACAAAUACAGAGUGUGAUACGAUGCAGCAAUUGAACAGAGAUGACCAAUAGCAGUAGUUCAUAGUCAGUACACAUUAAUAGAGUUUGAAAAUCAACCAUUUUGCACUGUGAAAAGGAGUUAAGACUUUUAUUUUAUUUGAAAAUAAAAAAAUAGGGAAAGGUGCUUUAAUUUAUUAUAAAGUUGAUGAUUGUCAUUCAUUCAUUAUCUGCAAACAGAUAAGGUUUUUAUUUUAUUUUAUUUUUUUGGUAGUUUGACUAAUUUUUGUAUAGAAAUUUGAUUAUUUUUUACUUUUUUUGGUAGUUUGACAAAUAUUAUUAUUAUUAUUUUUAUGUUUACAGUGAGUUUCAAAAUGACAGAGCCCCUAAAGGGACAUGAAGGGAAAAAAAUUAAAUGAGAGGAAAAACAACGUCAAUGCAUUUGUGUUUUGCUUUCCUCCAAAAAACAUUUUUGUGUUCCCCCGAGAAUUUUUGUAUUUCCUCACAAAAUGUUUGUGCAAAGUUUCUCAGGGGAAUGCAAAAGUUUAGUGAGGGAACGCAAAACACAAAAGCAUUUUUUCGUCCCAUGCCAUAGUUUUUCCACCACUAAUUUUCCACUAUUAAAUCCCUUUGGGAGCUCCAUACAAAAGUACAUUGAAAAUAUGGGAUUUAAAAUUCUUUUAAAACAUGGAAAACAAAAAACAAAAGCAUUUGAAUAGUGUUGAAAUGAUCAUGUUAACUCCUUUGUAGACAAAGACAGCAAGAUAAAGCAUCAGUAGCAUCAAAGGAGGAGCAUGGACAAGAUCAUUCUCAAAUCAUGUAUUAUCAAAAAUAGUGUACUGUCAGUGCAUUUACUGAUUUUAAAAGGUUACUCCACCCCAAAAUGAAAAUGUUGUCAUUAAUCACUUACCCCCAUGUCGUACCAAACCCGUAAAAGAUUUGUUCGUCUUUGGAACACAAUUUAUGGGCUUGUGACUGUCCAUUGACUGCUAAGUAAAUAACACUGUCAAGGCCCAGAAAAGUAUGAAAGACAAAGAAAACAAAAAUAACGACUUUAUUCAACAAUUCGUCUCCUCCGCGUCACCGUAGCGCCAUUUUGGAGAAUAUCCACUGAACGCAAGCAGCGUACGGUCUUCUGCGUCAGCCGCACCACACGGAUAAAUUUUCUAUGUGUAUUUACGCUUUGAUUUGAACGAAAACAGCGUAUCCGUGUGGUGUGGCUGACAUAGUAGAGCGUAUGCAGUUUUCAUUCAGUGGAUACUCUCCAAAAUGGCGCUAUGGUGACGCGGAGGAGACGAAUUGUUGAAUAAAGUCGUUAUUUUUGUUUUCUUUGCGUACAAAAAGUAUUCUCGUCGCUUCAUAAAAUUCAGAUUGAACCACUGAUGGCAGAUGGACUAUUUUGACGAUGUCUUUCAUACUUUUCUGGACCUUGACAGUGUUAUUUACUUGGCAGUCUAUGGGACAGUCACAAGCCUCGCGGUUUUCAUCCAAAAUAUCUUAAAUUGUGUUCCGAAGACGAACGAAGCUUUUACGGGUUUGGAACGACAUGGGGGUAAGUGAUUAAUGACAACAUUUUCAUUUUGGGGUGGAGUAACCCUUUAAUGUAUAAUGUACUUUACUGUAUGUUCAGUAAGUAGGCCUAUAUGUAUGCAUUCAUACUACAUCCAGCAUGUUGACGUUGUCAUGCAGUGGUGCCUGCAGCUGUGCAUACUAUGAGUGCUCCAACUGACCUGAGAAACAUUUUCCCUGAGAUUAUUUCAACAAAUAUGAUGUGUGUCCAGUAUUUCUGACAUCUGUUCAGAAUUGGGGUAUGUUUACAUGACAACGGUGUACUAAAAUCAGAAAAGUUUUCCUGCAUUAUGCAUGCCAGGCCAGUAGUUGGUGAUGCCACUUUGUAAAGAAACACUACACUAAUGUUUGAUUUGUUUGGACUGCUUGCUCACUGAAUAGUUAUCUAAAAUAUAAAAUGUAUGCUGUGGAGUUAAGGUUCAUCUUCAUUGGAAUUACUGGAAUAUCCAAGCCUGUUAAUUAGAACAUGGUGUCCACAUACCUUUUGCUGUAUAUAUUCCAAAUAUACAUUAUAUCUUUCUUCUGUGUUGUUCUGUCCAGUGUGAUCCAGUGUCCGAUUGGUUGUGUUGAGUAAGUAAUCUAUUGAAUUGAAACACAUACUGUACAUAUACACUACUUUGGUUUAAAAUAAUUUAAUGUGUAAUUUAAUGUUACUAGUCCUGUGGCAAUGUUUUUUUUUUUUUUUGUAAAUGACGCAAAUAAAGCUACUUGGAUCUUAAUAAAAAUACUUGCUCAGUUCUGC